UUAACCCUUGUGCUAUCUUAGAUGACCCCACCCUCACAUUGACGUGUUCUCCCUACCAUGACAAAGGUGGAUAAAGGUGGAANNNNNNNNNNAGAUUUCAUGUAAUCCAUGGACACCAGUGAAGAUCACAAAUCAUUGAAGGAAAAAGGUUCAGAGCACUGUCUAGUGGGUCUAAAUGACCCAACUCCCAACGUUAAAGUGCCUAGGAUAGCACAAGGGUUACAGGAUCCUAAUGGCUUUGCUUGAUUGGACUUUAUCCAGGUACACACAUGUCCCGCCACAGUCAAAAACAUGCAGCUGAGAAAAGCUGUAAUUACAAUAUCAACUUGUCUAACUUUGACAGUGAAUGCAAUUGAUGUUUACCUUUUUGGGAGUUAUUUUUACGGCGGCAUGGCGUUUGGCUGACAUUUCCAAAGGGCCUCCUGUCUCAAAGCCUGUGAUCAUCAUAAAAGGCUUGUCCUUCUGCAGCCCUGUGAUUAAAGUAUUAAAAAUAACCAAAGGAAUAAAUGGAAAGCAGAAUUUACAUUCCUCAAAUUCACAGAAGUUACAAGUAAGGACCACUAGGAGGAGAUGACACACAAGAAUCUGAUCUCCAUCUGCCUGUGCUUAGUUAUCUGUAAUCUGAAGAGGAUGAUAAAAUGUGCAUUUCUUCUUAAGAGUGUGAUCUGAGCAUAAAGGAUGAAGGAAAGGGAAAAUAAUAUGUAGAGUGUCAAGGUUAUUUCUGAAAACACAAGACAGUAUUAACAAAGGAAACAGACGCCAAGAGACAGGUACGAUUUCUCAUGAGGAGAGCUGGAAACAGACAACCCUUCUGCUCCAAACCGCUCUUCCUAAGGGUGACUGCCUCGCACUUUUAUUCAGUUCUCCCUGGUUACAUGGUGAGUGAUUUAUCUAUAAGUCACAUAAGGCGCAUUAAGAGAGAUAAAAAAGUUAGAGGUAAGUACAUCAGUCAGUCAGACUUGAGUAACUAAGGUGGUUGUCAAUAAUUUUCUGCUGUAAUCACAGGAAGUUCUGUGUUUCAUGAUCAAAUUAUCUCACAUUCCAGACACUUCUUUCCUUACUGCUGAAGUGAUCACUUUUCUGAAAUGGCACACGGAAAGAUUCUAACACAAACAACUUUAAUUAUGUAAGAAAAACAGAACAUGCAAACGUUCUUAAAAACAGAAGUUUGAAUAAUAAAGAAAAUAUAUACAUUUAACAUAGAGUUAUUGCAUAACUCCAGAAAUCCUGUUUCAGGGCCUGCUUAUGUAAUUUUUUUCAAUUACAUUUUUUCUGCAACAGUAUCAUAGAGUUUUAAAACUCUAAUCCUUGUAGAUUUUUUAUUGUAUAUUUAAAACUUACCCAGACAUUCAAAUUCAACCUUUGGGUUGAAAAUAUGAAUGAAAUGUCAAUCAUGUUGAUGACUUUUUUGAAGAAAUAUUAAAAGAAAAUUGUACACUUACUUAUUCAGGAAAUUGUUUUUUUAUUCAUCGUCAUUUUGAAAAGAGCAGACAGUUUUCAACUUCUUAUAGCUUCAAAUCAAGUAAAAAAAUCCUCCAGCUCUGAGUGUUGAUAUAAAAAACAAAAGCGUUUCAAAUAUAGAAACUAGUGUCUUGAGGUUUAGUCACAGCAAAUGGACUCAACAUCAAGAUGUCACGAGGAUAACUGAAAACCUUAACCAACAGAAUGUGUAAAAUAUGAACUGCAUCCCAUAAUGUUACAACCUGUUCAAUAAAAUCUGAUAGCAGGAACUUCCAACAUUGUACAUUUUUGUUAAUAUUCAGAAAUUACAAUUACAAAUUUUCACCAGUCAUCCACAGAUUUGCAGACAAUUUUUUUAGUUUUUGAGAGAAUCCUAAGAAAUUUAAAAUUUGAUGUUUAGACUUUGAUUUAGAGAUGUGGUGUAUAUAUUAAGUAGGAAUUAGAUGAACUAAUUCUAGCAAAGCAGUAGUUGCUGGCAUGACCAAAGUUGGCCCCACA
rnacentral:lncRNA from 1 species